GACGAACGCUGGCGGCGUGCCUAAUACAUGCAAGUAGAACGCUGAAGGAGGAGCUUGCUCUUCUGGAUGAGUUGCGAACGGGUGAGUAACGCGUAGGUAACCUGCCUGGUAGCGGGGGAUAACUAUUGGAAACGAUAGCUAAUACCGCAUAAGAGUAGAUGUUGCAUGACAUUUGCUUAAAAGGUGCAAUUGCAUCACUACCAGAUGGACCUGCGUUGUAUUAGCUAGUUGGUGGGGUAACGGCUCACCAAGGCGACGAUACAUAGCCGACCUGAGAGGGUGAUCGGCCACACUGGGACUGAGACACGGCCCAGACUCCUACGGGAGGCAGCAGUAGGGAAUCUUCGGCAAUGGACGGAAGUCUGACCGAGCAACGCCGCGUGAGUGAAGAAGGUUGUCGGAUCGUAAAGCUCUGUUGUAAGAGAAGAACGAGUGUGAGAGUGGAAAGUUCACACUGUGACGGUAUCUUACCAGAAAGGGACGGCUAACUACGUG
rnacentral:rRNA from 1 species